rnacentral:rRNA from 1 species
UGGGGAAUUUGGACAAUGGGCGAAAGCCUGAUCCAGCAAUGCCGCGUGUGUGAAGAAGGCCUUCGGGUUGUAAAGCACUUUUGUCCGGAAAGAAAUCCUUGGCUCUAAUACAGUCGGGGGAUGACGGUACCGGAAGAAUAAGCACCGGCUAACUACGUGCCAGCAGCCGCGGUAAUACGUAGGGUGCAAGCGUUAAUCGGAAUUACUGGGCGUAAAGCGUGCGCAGGCGGUUUGCUAAGACCGAUGUGAAAUCCCCGGGCUCAACCUGGGAACUGCAUUGGUGACUGGCAGGCUAGAGUAUGGCAGAGGGGGGUAGAAUUCCACGUGUAGCAGUGAAAUGCGUAGAGAUGUGGAGGAAUACCGAUGGCGAAGGCAGCCCCCUGGGCCAAUACUGACGCUCAUGCACGAAAGCGUGGGGAGCAAACAGGAUUAGAUACCCUGGUAGUCCACGCCCUAAACGAUGUCAACUAGUUGUUGGGGACUUCAUUUUCCUUAGUAACGUAGCUAACGCGUGAAGUUGACCGCCUGGGGAGUACGGUCGCAAGAUUAAAACUUAAAUGAAUUGACGGGGUCAUA